rnacentral:rRNA from 1 species
GUCCUAAGGCCGGCGGAAGAAGCAUUGUUAAGGAACUCGGCAAAAUGACCCCGUAACUUCGGGAGAAGGGGUGCCAACGAGAGUUGGCCGCAGAGAAUAGGCUCAAGCAACUGUUUAGCAAAAACACAGGUCUAUGCAAAACCGUAAGGUGAGGUAUAUGGGCUGACGCCUGCCCGGUGCUGGAAGGUUAAGAGGAGAGGUUAGCGCAAGCGAAGCUUUGAAUUUAAGCCCCAGUAAACGGCGGCCGUAACAAUAACGGUCCUAAGGUAGCGAAAUUCCUUGUCGGGUAAGUUCCGACCCGCACGAAAGGCGUAAUGAUUUGAGCGCUGUCUCGACAAUGCAUCCGGUGAAAUUGAAGUACCAGUGAAGAUGCUGGUUACCCGCGCCAGGACGGAAAGACCCCAUGGAGCUUUACUCCAGUUUGGUACUGGGGUCCGGCAGUGCAUGUACAGGAUAGGUGGGAGGCUGUGAACCUGGAACGCCAGUUUCAGGGGAGCCAUUGUUGGGAUACCACCCUUGUGCUGCUGGGCUUCUAACCAGCGGCCUUUAUCAGGCCGGGGGACAAUGCCAGACGGGGAGUUUGACUGGGGCGGUCGCCUCCGAAAGGGUAUCGGAGGCGCUCAAGGGUUCCCUCAGAAUGGUCGGAAACCAUUCGAAGAGUGCAAAGGCAGAAGGGAGCUUGACUGCGACACCGACGGGUGGAGCAGGUACGAAAGUAGGACUUAGUGAUCCGGUGGUAUUAAGUGGGAAUGCCAUCGCUCAACGGAUAAAAGCUACCCUGGGAUAACAGGCUUAUCACUCCCAAGAGUUCACAUCGACGGAGUGGUUUGGCACCUCGAUGUCGGCUCAUCGCAUCCUGGGGCUGUAGUAGGUCCCAAGGGUUGGGCUGUUCGCCCAUUAAAGCGGUACGCGAGCUGGGUUCAGAACGUCGUGAGACAGUUCGGUCCCUAUCCGGCGUGGGCGUAGGAUAUUUGAGAGGAGCUGUCCUUAGUACGAGAGGACCGGGAUGGACUGACCUCUGGUGUACCGGUUGAACCGCUAGGUUCACGGCCGGGUAGCCAAGUCGGGAAGGGAUAAACGCUGAAGGCAUCUAAGCGUGAAGCCCCCCUCAAGAUGAGAUAUCCCAUUCGAAAGAAGUAAGACCCCUUGAAGACGACGAGGUAGAUAGGGCAGAGGUGGAAGUGCCGUAAGGCAUGGAGCUGACUGUUACUAAUCGGUCGAGGGCUUGAUC